CAUUCGAGUCUCCAGGGGUCACGCUCCGAUCCCGGAUGAGCCCCCAAAAUGAAAGAGCUGCCCCUGAUUCGGGGAGUCUCUCGCUUCAGUCACGGGAUGGGGUUCCCCAGGAAACACGUGUAGCC
rnacentral:pre_miRNA from 14 species